AACUUUGCACAGUGGCAGUAUCAUAGCCAAUGAGGUUUAUCUGAGGUGCAAUUAUUGCUAAUUUUAAAAAAAAUUAGAACUUAUUCACUUUCAGCUAGGGAAUGUUACAGGACA
rnacentral:snRNA from 1 species